GAUUAAUAAAUCAACGGUAGAAGAUGUACGACAGCCUUGCAAAUCAACUUUAAUG
rnacentral:sRNA from 1 species